GUGGGGAAUAUUGGACAAUGGGCGCAAGCCUGAUCCAGCCAUGCCGCGUGUGUGAAGAAGGCCUUUUGGUUGUAAAGCACUUUAAGCGAGGAGGAGGCUCCUUUAGUUAAUACCUAAAGAGAGUGGACGUUACUCGCAGAAUAAGCACCGGCUAACUCUGUGCCAGCAGCCGCGGUAAUACAGAGGGUGCAAGCGUUAAUCGGAUUUACUGGGCGUAAAGCGCGCGUAGGUGGCCAAUUAAGUCAAAUGUGAAAUCCCCGAGCUUAACUUGGGAAUUGCAUUCGAUACUGGUUGGCUAGAGUAUGGGAGAGGAUGGUAGAAUUCCAGGUGGAGCGGUGAAAUGCGUAGAGAUCUGGAGGAAUACCGAUGGCGAAGGCAGCCAUCUGGCCUAAUACUGACACUGAGGUGCGAAAGCAUGGGGAGCAAACAGGAUUAGAUACCCGUGUAGUCC
rnacentral:rRNA from 1 species